UACGGGGGGGGUAAGCGUUGUUCGGAAUUACUGGGCGUAAAGGGCUCGUAGGCGGCCAACUAAGUCAUACGUGAAAUCCCUCAGCUUAACUGGGGAACUGCGUGUGAUACUGGAUAGCUUGGAUUUGGGAGAGGGAUGCGGAAUUCCAGGUGUAGCGGUGAAAUGCGUAGAUAUCGUCAAGAACACCUAUAGCGAAGGCAGCUUACUAGGCUGUAACUGACGCUGAGGCACGAAAGUGUGGGGAUCAAACAGG
rnacentral:rRNA from 1 species